CUAAUUCAACAAUACUAGAUGCUGCUAUCCCUUCAACUGGUUUGCCUAGACCAGUCCUUGCUACAGAAGAUGAGACUCCCUUUGAUUUCCUGGCCUUAUCACGGCAGGAUCCCGACCAGAUCUCAUGUGUUCAACCUGCUGUUCCUUUAGCUGAAGACCCUGUUCAACCUCUCAUUUGCAUAUCUGACCACAAGCAUUGCCCUCCUCUAGAGCAGCAACCAGCUACAUCCAAUACCUCAUAUGAACAGAAACCUUUGAUAUCUGGUACUGCUAGCUCGGGUCACUCCUCUAGCACGAGAACACAUGUAUAUAAGCUUGAAGGUCCUUCAUUUCCAGACCUUAGUAGAGAAGACGAAAUGCAAUACAGGAUGUUACGGAUGGCCCUUACAAACCUUCUUGAUCCUCAUGAGACAGAGCACUUCAAAUAUCAUGUCCUUCUUGAUCACCUCAAAGUAGACCAAGCUAAACGAUUAGCUCUUGCCUUUUCCUACGCUCCUGACCCAUACACUCAAGCCAUCAAAGCCCUUGAUGAGCGUUAUGGGCAACCAAGACAGCUGGCAUUGAAAGAGCUAAAGAAUAUACUGGAACUGCCUCCUAUCAGAGCAGGUGAUGGUCAGAGCCUUGAUAAUUUUGCUCUUCGAGUACAGGCUUUAGUUGGGUUGCUUAGCACUAUGGGAGAACAAGGACGUGCAGAACUAGACUGUGGCUCCCAUGUCGAUCGCUUGUUAGUGAAGUUGCCUGCAGAGCAUUUCAGUCGCUUCAAACGGCAUGUUUACAGGGAACAGGGAGAAAUGACGUAUACCUUGCCUUUGUUCUCGUCCUGGUUGCAAAUGGAAUGCAGGUGUCAACCAAAGAAGGCCAGUCCUGUUCCAUCCUUCAACCAGACACGACCUGCCCGAAUAGACUGCUUUGGACCAUACAAGGUCAAGACAGGCCGCAGAUCGGAGAAAAGGUGGGGAAUAAUAUUCAAAUGUCUCACCACUCGGUGUAUACAUCUUGACCUCCUAAACAGUAUGGAUACAGACUCCUUCCUCAUGGCCCUCCAACGAUUCAUUUCUCGACGAGGAACACCCCUGGAAAUUAUAUGUGAUCAAGGAACUAACUUCAAAGGAGGAGAUAAGGAACUACGGGCAGCUUUUAACAACCUUGCUCCGACUCUGCAGCCGGUCCUAAUGACUAAAAGAAUCCAUUUCAAAUUCAAUCCCCCACAUGCACCCCAUUUCGGCAGAGCCUGGGAGAGGGAGAUACGUUCUGUGAAGAAUGCUCUGAAGAGAACCAUUGGUGCACAGAUGGUCACUGAAGAGGUCUUAAGAACAGUCCUAAUUGAGAUUGAAGGCAUUCUUAACUCAAAACCCCUAGGCUAUGUAUCCUCAGACAUUGCGGACAUUGACCCCGUAACCCCAAACCUUCUCCUUAUGGGCCGACAUGAUUCAUCACUUCCCCUGGUAUCCUAUUCUGAUUCUGACCUCCUAGGCCGACGACGAUGGCGACAUGCACAAAUAUUGGCAGAUCACUUCUGGCGACACUUCAUAAGAGACUAUCUACCAUCCCUCCAAAGAAGACCCAAAUGGCAGAAGGAAAAACCAGAUCUCACAUUGAACUCUGUUGUCAUGAUUAUGGAUUCACACCUUCCACGUGCCCUUUGGCCUGUAGGAAGAGUGACGCACUUGCUGAAAAGCCCAGAUGACCACAUCAGAACUGUGGAGGUCUUAGUACAGGAUAAAACCUAUAUCCGCCCUGUCUCCUGUCUGAUCCCCCUGCCCUCGCUUCCUGACGAAGACUGAUCCUGAUCAUAUCAACAUAUUUCUCACUAGAAAUAUGGGGGCGGCUGUUGUAGAGACCCACCUUUUAGCACAUCCCAGCACACCCACUCACUUCACCAGAUGCACCUUGUUUAGUUCUCUCACCUUUGAUUGGGUGUGGUGCUUGUCCUUGAUUGCACUCACCUGUCACACAUUAUAUGUCACACAGUAUAUAAGGACUGCAUUCACUUUUGGCUCACUCUUUCCGCACUUCCACACGGGGCGGCAGCUGAGCAUUGGCAGUCCAUGUGUGUCUUUGUUUCCUUCCUUUUUUGCCUUAUUUAUUUGAGAAUAAAAGGAGUACCCUGAAAAUAAUUCUGCAUUAGAUGGCUGCUUUUCUUAUUCUAACCGGAUGAGCCCAUGAAGCUGAUUGCUUCAGCCCUGAACCUUCCUCCCUUCAAAACAGCAUGUCUCACAAUUUGGAAUUCAGCGAAUGCUGAUAAUCCACUGGGUUCUCAGUGACUUUGAAUGGGUCCAGACCUAUUUUUCGAUCAGCUACAGAAAGUCCCUGGUUCUCUUUGCCACCGGAGGAUUUCACGGUACACAACGAUUCUCAGGAUCAAAAUAUCUCCCUCCUCACAGAGGUUUGGCCAUGGUCAGUGUCAAGAGAGCUAUCUGUUAGGCCUUAUUUUGGGACUUAUUUACAAACUUCCAUGCAAAGUUUAUUUAGAUUCGUGUCCUUUUUCCUUCUUGGCACGUCCCCCUGAAAGACUCUGAGAUUAUCACAACGCCUGAAGCAAACGUUUCUGCUGUUCAUGUUGCGUUUCAGCGUGUAAGCAAACUAGAACGUAUAUUUUCCAGUUUGUUGGAGCAGAUGUAGAUAACAAAAAGCAGAAAUUCCACAUUAGCGAGUGAGGACAAGCUCAGUGUACUCGUAUUGUGAAGCUGAGGUUUUUAAGUAGCUACAAAAACAAAAAGUAUGUGACCCAAUAAUUUUUCCCAUCUAAUCUUGGGAACGAUAUCUCUGUCUACUAAGGAAAGCAUCUCUCUUCUUAGACUUUAUGCGAUGAGUCCUUCCAGCUGACUGUUGGGGGAUAUCACAACACAGCACGACCUUCAUAAUCUCCUGAUGCACUCUUAACCUCAUUGUGAGCCUUUUCAUUUACAAGCUUUUUUCUUUUUUUGCCGUACUACGCACGCCGAUUCUCUCGCUCAGCAGAAGAACUCAUCUGCCUUGACGGCCUGACUAUUUAAAGGUGAUCAGAUUAUCAAUUAAAGUUCAGGAUUCUUCAACCUGGGGUCUGUUUUUGCAGUUCUUUUCAUUUAAACUAUGAUUUUUGUUAGUUUUACACUAACCUGUGUCUUUAUAGAGGUAAAGGCUGGAUAACUCCAGCACAAGAAUACACAGGGAGGUCAGCAGUGCAAGUUUUACAAGUUGAAAUCAGAUGUAAUCGGCCUUUUUUAUAUGCACUAUGAGUUAGUAGAUACAAAAAUAAUAACUACAGAGGUUUUUUUAAAUCUUUUUUUUUUUUUACCGGUAACCAAAGAGGAAAAUGGCAGAAGUUCUAAAACACUGCACCAAACAGCAGACAGGUACAGUCUGGAAAUAGCUGGUGAACAAAGUGCACCAUUAAGCAACUGAAGAGCCAGUUAUUCCCUGGAGAGGGAUUGGUGAAGCACAAAACAGAGCUAAAUGUGAGCAAAUAACGAUUUACAUUCAGAACAAAGUUAGAAACAUGGGUACAAAUGGGCUGCAGACUGAAUUGCUCUAAAUCUACUGGAUGUGUAAUUUUUUAUUUUUUUUUAAAAAAGUGAUUUUUAUGCCAUUUGUACUUUAAGAAUUUAUGGUUUUAUUCUUGAUGAACACUUAUUCAGCUGCUUGAUGCUACAAAAUGUCCAUGUCUAUGGGGAUGUGACGGAAACUCGUACAGGGUAAUGACCUUCAACUCGAGCAACACACAUACCAGCUAAGCCACAGCUGCGUUAUAGAUAUUUUUAAAUGCAAGAACGGCAGAGGGGGACUCUAAGAGCAUAAUGUUUUUAUGAGGAAAAACUAGUUUGAUAUAUACUGACAGCUUUUUUUUUUAAAGGGGGGCCUAGUGUAACCAGAGAGUUCAGGGACCUGCACUCUCUGGUUGCACUCGGUAAUAUCAACGUGUGCCAUAUCUUUUCAAUGUCACAUGUCCAGGCUAUCCAAACAGAUCCUGAACGAGUGUCUCUUCCCAAAAGAAAUGUUGUUUUCUUUGCAUAUUUUCUUUACUGGAAAAGCAUUCCAUAGAUUCCUGAAUGUCUCUUAUUUUUUUCCUGCUUUUAACUAUACUAUAGGUGUCUCCUUUCAAAAUUUAAGACGUUUUCCGAAGAGCAGAGAACCUUUGAUGUGUUUAAAGCACCCCAAAAUAAAUUUUCACUGGAGACGGAAAAUAAGUGUGGGAUGAGCACGGUGCAGCUGGACCUGAAGGAAAAUCUCUACACUCUCAGAAAUAGGGGUACACUGAAAUUCAAUUUAUGACCUUAAAAGGUACAGUCAGCAUGAGUGUAUCCCCAAGGGUUAAUUCUUACACCUCAAGGUUACAACGUGUAGGUUCUAAAAGGCCAAAAGGCACACGUCGCCAAACAGUACAUAUUUAUACUUCUUACAGUUUAAAAGGUACCAUAUAUGGGGUUAUAUGACCUUACCGAUACAUUAAGUUUUGUUCUCUGUCUUGCCUGCACCUUGGUUCUGGGUUUGAAUCUUUACUCUGCCGGUGCCUGGUGAGUUCUCUGAGAGUGCUUGGUUUGUUGGGCACAUAUGAGAUCAAAAAAAGUUGUUUUUACAGAACUCAAAGCAGUCCUGGAAAAACUGAGUGCACCCUGUGAGUCAGUGGCUUCAGCUUUUCAAACCAGCUUUAUCACCAAUAACUUGAAGUUCUGUUGUACUUUAUCAGUCUCUCAUAUUGUUGUGGUUGACUUUUGGUCCACGCUUCUUGGUAAAGGGACUUCAGUUUAUUGAAGUUUUGCAGGGAGUCAUCUCUUAAGGUCUUGCCACAGUAUUUCAGUGGGGUUGAACUUUGAUGAAUUUUGACUGGGUCAUGGUAACUCCUUGAUUUUUAUUUUUUGGUGUUGUGCUUGGGAUCAUUAUGCUGUUGCAUGACCCGGUUUUGACUUUUAGCUCUUGGAUGGAUUGGAUGGAUGACUCUAAAGUACUUUGGUAUAUAGAGAGGUUCAUGGUCAACUCAAUGACUGCCAGGUCCCAAAUUCCUUUGGCUAUAAAUUAAGCCUAUCAUCGCCCCCACCAUCAUGCUUGACAGGUAAUAUGAGGUGUUUGUGCUGAUUUUUGCCAGAUGUGGCGCUAUGUAUUACUGGCCCAAAAUCUCUACUUUGGUCUGGUCUGUCCAAAGGACAUUGUUCCAGGAGUCUUGUGGUUUAUUCAGAUGCAACUUUACAAACCUAAGCCAAUCCGGUGAUUUCUUAUCAGAGAGAAGAGACCUUCUUCUGGUAACUCUUCCAAACACACUAUGCUUGUUCAAUAUUUCUAAUUGUGCUGUCAUGAACUUUCCACAACUGUGUGUUGAAACAAACCUAAAUGCUCCAGACCAAUAAACUGCCAAACUCUUUUUAUAGAGGUGCUGACACUUGCUUAUGAUCAGUCAAUCAAGUGCAUUUGAUUAGCAACACCAAGAGGCAGCUAGUAGUGGCUACCUGCUACUUGCAGCUAGGUGCUUCCCAUGGAAGCAGUAAAGGUGUAUUUACAUUUUCACAAGCCUGUAUUGUGACAAAGUGGCUGAGCAGUUGCAAUGCUCUCCAUUUGUCCCAUAUGUGUUGACCUUUUUUUGCACAUUAUUCUGUUUCUAUUUAUUUGCUAUGAUUUGCUAUUUGUCAAGUAACAUUGCUGCACUAACUAUCCCGGGUUCGUUUGUGUAAGCGUUCUGUGGCCGGCAAAACAAACAUUCUGCAAUUUUAUUGUGUUACAGAUUAAGUCAUUUGUUCAUACUUACUUUGUUCUUUCUUUUCAGUCUUCAUGAGGGUCAGGUGUGGGAAAAUGCCCCCUAGCAUUUCCUCAUUUUAAGUCCUGAUGACAUCACACAUGACAUCAGCAGGUCGAACCAAGUGGAGGGGUUUCUUUUUCCAUAGAAAUGCUUCCUCUGAAGGGAUUUGUUGAAUCUUUUUCUUUUUGUUAAUAGAGCCAUUUAGUUGUGUAAAUGUGCUAAUUAGACGUGUGAGGAGGUUUUGUCUUUUUUAAUCAUCUGUGUAAAGUUUUAGAUCCCUCAGUUCAAGUGAGUGGUACUGGCUGGGCUAAUUGAAGGGCUGCCAGUCUCUGCCAUAUUCAGAUGAGAGAGGAGAGGUGAGCUGUGUUACCAGAGCCAUGUACCGUUGAGUUUUGUUAACUGAGUUACUUUGGGGGGGGAAGUUUUAUUAAAUAGAGUUCAUUGUAAAUAAAUUGCUCACCUCUGGAA